AUUUCGGUCAUCGAUGGGGAUGCGUUCCAUUAGCUUGUUGGCGGGGUAACGGCCCACCAAGGCAUCGAUGGAUAGGGGUUCUGAGAGGAAGGUCCCCCACAUUGGAACUGAGACACGGUCCAAACUCCUACGGGAGGCAGCAGUGAGGAAUAUUGGUCAAUGGGCGCUAGCCUGAACCAGCCAAGUAGCGUGAAGGAUGACUGCCCUAUGGGUUGUAAACUUCUUUUAUAUGGGAAUAAAGUGCAGUAUGUAUACUGCUUUGCAUGUACCUUAUGAAUAAGGAUCGGCUAACUCCGUGCCAGCAGCCGCGGUAAUACGGAGGAUCCGAGCGUUAUCCGGAUUUAUUGGGUUUAAAGGGAGCGUAGGCGGGUUGUUAAGUCAGUUGUGAAAGUUUGCGGCUCAACCGUAAAAUUGCAGUUGAUACUGGCAUCCUUGAGUACAGUAGAGGUAGGCGGAAUUCGUGGUGUAGCGGUGAAAUGCUUAGAUAUCACGAAGAACUCCGAUUGCGAAGGCAGCCUGCUGGACUGUAACUGACGCUGAUGCUCGAAAGUGUGGGUAUCAAACAGGAUUAGAUACCCUGGUAGUCC
rnacentral:rRNA from 1 species